rnacentral:rRNA from 1 species
AAAAUUUAAAAUUAAAAUACUAAAAUAGUAAAUAAUUAUUUAUUGAAACUUAAAUAAUUUGGCGGUAUUUUAGUUUAUUUAGAGGAAUCUGUUUAAUAAUUGAUAAUCCACGAAUAAAUUUACUUAAUUUAUAAUUUUGUAUAUCGUUGUUAAAAAAAUAUUU